rnacentral:rRNA from 1 species
UUGGAGGGCAGUCUGGUGCAGCAGCCGCGGUAAUUCCAGCUCCAAUAGCGUAUAUUAAAGUUGUUGCAGUUAAAAAGCUCGUAGUUGAAUUUCGGGAUUCAUCCGUUGGUCGGGCUUCACGGUCCGUACUGGUGUGAUGGGUUCCUACCUUCUGAAUAACCGGCAUGCCAUUAAUUUGGUGCGCCGGGGAAGCAGAACUAUUACCUUGAAAAAAUUAGAGUGCUUAAAGCAGGCAAGUGCCUGAAUAGGUUAGCAUGGAAUAAUAAAAUAGGACGGCAUGGUUCUAUUUUGUUGGUUUCUAGGAUCACCGUAAUGAUUAAUAGGGAUAGUUGGGGGCAUUAGUAUUCAAUUGUCAGAGGUGAAAUUCUUGGAUUUAUUGAAGACUAACUUCUGCGAAAGCAUUUGCCAAGGAUGUUUUCAUUAAUCAAGAACGAAAGUUAGGGGAUCGAAGACGAUCAGAUACCGUCGUAGUCUUAACCAUAAACUAUGCCGACUAGGGAUCGGACGAUGUUAAUUUUCUAAUGACUCGUUCGGCGCCUUACGGGAAAC